rnacentral:miRNA from 1 species
UAUGUGUGUGUGUAUGUCCAUG